CAAGAAAAGUGCCUAGGAGAGCUUCUUCGGACCACCCACUCACCAUAGUUUGGAGUAGCUGAAACUCGUCAAUGUAGGCUUGCACUUUUCCUUCUUGCUUCAACUUGGCUAUUUGGCCAUGAUGGUUCACAACGGAAGAGGGACCCCAUUGUGACAUGAACUCCUUCACAAAGGCCGUCCACCCAAGUCUUUUCUCAUUCUUCUCAUAGAGGUCCCGAAUCCACCUCUACCACCUACUAGCCCUUCCUUCAAGAUGGAAGCUAGCAAGUGUGACCCUAUCUCCUCUCGGUACCUCAUACACAUUGAAGUAUUGCUCCGUCUUGUCCAUCCAUUCAUAGGGAUCUCCGCCACUAAACUUGGG
rnacentral:lncRNA from 1 species